AUUGAACGCUGGCGGCAUGCUUUACACAUGCAAGUCGAACGGCAGCGCGGGCUUCGGCCUGGCGGCGAGUGGCGAACGGGUGAGUAAUGCAUCGGAACGUGCCCAGUAGUGGGGGAUAGCCCGGCGAAAGCCGGAUUAAUACCGCAUACGACCUGAGGGUGAAAGCGGGGGACCGAAAGGCCUCGCGCUAUUGGAGCGGCCGAUGUCGGAUUAGCUAGUUGGUGGGGUAAAGGCUUACCAAGGCGACGAUCCGUAGCUGGUCUGAGAGGACGACCAGCCACACUGGGACUGAGACACGGCCCAGACUCCUACGGGAGGCAGCAGUGGGGAAUUUUGGACAAUGGGGGCAACCCAGAUCCAGCCAUGCCGCGUGCGGGAAGAAGGCCUUCGGGUUGUAAACCGCUUUUGUUCGGGAAGAAAUCCUCUGGGCUAAUACCCCGGGGGGAUGACGGUACCGGAAGAAUAAGCACCGGCUAACUACGUG
rnacentral:rRNA from 1 species